CCUCCCGCUUUCCCUCCCUGAGCGGGUGCCGGCCACAAGACCGGCUUUCCUACCCCAGCCACCUCCCCUUUGGCUGGGGUAUUUUAU
rnacentral:ncRNA from 1 species